rnacentral:rRNA from 1 species
UACGGAGGGAGCUAGCGUUGUUCGGAAUUACUGGGCGUAAAGCGCGUGUAGGCGGCCCGGAAAGUCGGAUGUGAAAGCCCUGGGCUUAACCCAGGAAGUGCAUUCGAAACUCCCGGGCUUGAGUUCUGGAGAGGAAGGCGGAAUUCUCGGUGUAGAGGUGAAAUUCGUAGAUAUCGAGAGGAACACCGGUGGCGAAGGCGGCCUUCUGGACAGUGACUGACGCUGAGACGCGAAAGCGUGGGGAGCAAACAGG